rnacentral:snRNA from 1 species
GUUGCUUCUUGACCUCUUGGCUAAGAUCAAGUGUAGUAUGUUCUUACCAGUUUAAUAUCUGAUACAUACUCUAUGCCAGAACAGUGUAUUACUUGGAUUUUUGGUGUAUAUUAACUGGAUUUUUGGAGAUGGGAGGUAAAACAGCUUGCUCUUUCCACUACAUGCAGCACCCUGGUACUGAAACACCUCCAAGAGUGGUACAACCUUC